rnacentral:piRNA from 2 species
CAGCUUUCCUGCGGUGUUGGUUGCUGA